ACACGUAGGGGGCGAGCGUUGUUCGGAAUCAUUGGGCGUAAAGGGCGUGCAGGCGGUCCUGCAAGUCCGGCGUGAAAGACCCCGGCCCAACCGGGGGGACGCGCUGGAAACUGCGGGGCUUGAGUACAGGAGGGGAUGCCGGAAUUCCAGGUGUAGGGGUGAAAUCUGUAGAUAUCUGGAAGAACACCAAUGGCGAAGGCAGGCAUCUGGCCAUGUACUGACGCUGAGACGCGAAGGUGCGGGGAGCAAACAGGUUUAGAUACCCUGGUAGUCCGCACAGUAAACGAUGUGCACCAGGUGGCGGGGGGUCGACCCUCGGUACCGUAGCUAACGCAUUAAGUGCACCGCCUGGGGAGUAUGCUCGCAAGGGUGAAACUCAAAUGAAUUGACGGGG
rnacentral:rRNA from 1 species